rnacentral:rRNA from 1 species
ACUCCUACGGGAGGCAGCAGUGGGGAAUAUUGCACAAUGGGCGCAAGCCUGAUGCAGCGACGCCGCGUGGGGGAUGACGGCCUUCGGGUUGUAAACCUCUUUCAGUAGGGACGAAGCGCAAGUGACGGUACCUACAGAAGAAGGACCGGCCAACUACGUGCCAGCAGCCGCGGUAAU